rnacentral:lncRNA from 1 species
GAAGUUUUGCUUUUACGAGUUUCCUGCAAAGGCAUACAUAACCACCCAAAGCUAAAAAUCCUAGAGGAGGUGGAAAGAUUGAAAUUCUUAGAUUUCGGUGCAAGCCUAUCUCUACUCUUAAAGCUAACCCCGGAGACUUGGAUUGCUCUAUCCUUAUAAGAACUUAUUUGGCCACUCCUUCUUGGGCCAAAUCAGGGUGUUCCAACGCAUGAUCUUGAACAAGCCACAGAUGAGGAGGCGGUAAUUAAUCUUGGUUGUUCCUCUGCUGCAAACCUAAGUCUCGAGGGUGUAGUGUCUGAAACCCAAGAGGUGGAACAUCUAGAGGAGAGCAAGACAGAAUACUCUGAUUCAUUGGUCUAUUCUUUGGCAAAAAAAGGUGUGAGUAGAAAAAAUAAACUCAGAGCUUUGGAGGUCUUGGGGAACGAAAGAAACAGGAAAGAAUAUGCAGGAAGAAAGAGAGGCCGAAAACCAAGGUCUGAGGUGGGCUCAUCCAUUCUAAGAGAGGUGACGAAAGGUUCGGCUGGAAUCGACCCAACGAUUUCAAGGCUCCAAGAGACAACGGCUAGGGAGGGCGCAGGUAGCUAUAUUACUCGAGCUACAAAAGCUUGGUUGUUAGGGAAAUCUGUCGGCUUGCGGUUUCCAAGGUCUGAUGAGGAGGCAAUAAGGGGUUUGGCGGAGGAAUUGGAGAAUGACAGGCCUGUUUAAUUUGGGGCCCUAAGAGGGCAUGAUCGGAAGUGGCUCUCAUGGAUCGUGAGAGGCCUUGGUGAAGGGGAAAGUGUUGGUCUGUUGUAGAUACCAUAUAGUCUUUCUGGCUCAAGUUGUCUAUUAUCUUUUAAUAAAGCUUAUUAUUGUAAGGGAAGCCAACUCCUCGGCUGUGUUACUAGCCAAGCGUGGGUUUAUUUCAUUGUGAGGCUUGUUCUUCUUAAACAUUUCCAUUGGAGCUGUUUGAUGUUUGCUGAUUGGAAUCUCUUUUGCAGCUGUCCGUUGCCGUGACAAAUUCUGGUGUAUUAUGGAAGUAUUAAUGAGAUGCAGUUUAAUCAAUUGAUUUGGCAUUCUAAAUGUCGUAUCUAUUGAUUUGACAUUCUAAAUGUUAUAUCUGUCAGAGGUAAGGAACUUGAAGGGAGAUUUGAUUAUUGUGUUGCUUUAUUUAGAUGACAUUCAGUUUAUCCAUUAUUGACAGGUUCAUGGAUUCUAUCUGGUUGUGGGUUGUGGUCCACGGGUAGUAUAUCAAAGAAGGCUUGAAAAGGUUUCGAAACUUAGUGAAUGAGAAGGCUUAUUGCUUGCAAUCUUGUUGGUGUGACUCUUCCUUGGAAACCUCUAUGGUCGUGGGCCAUUGACCAAGUUUAUAUUGUUAAUUAAGCUGUGAAGGGUUGCUGUUUGUUUCAAGUGAAGAGUUGGCCUUUGGAAUUUAUGAUAUAUGCUUGGGGCUCAACUUUGUGCAAAAUUAAAGAGCUUUUGGAGUUGUUUUAUCCUGUGCAUUUCAAUAUCUCAGAGUAUAUUAGUGUCUAUUUUUGGUUUUGAGCUUGGGCUUGAGUACUCUUUUUCCUCUCUGGGGUUUUUCCCACUGGGUUUUUCCUAUGGAGGUUUUAAUGAGGCUCUUCUCAAGCUCUCUAGUCACCAAAAUAGUACAUGGGUUGGUUUAAGCCUUUAGUCAUUUUGGCUUGGCUUGAGUUGUUUUUCUUGUCUUAUCUUUUACCAAUUUACAUGAGAGGAUUGUUCUCAUGAUUUUUAUUUUAUAUCAAUAUAAGCUUUUUGUUCUCAAA